GUCUACAGCCAUACCACCUUGAAUGCACCCAAUCUCAUCUGAUUUCAGGACCUAAGUGGGGUUGGGCCUCGCUAGUACUUGAACAGGAAAUAAGGCACUCUGACCA
rfam:Rattus norvegicus chromosome 8, whole genome shotgun sequence.